rnacentral:rRNA from 1 species
AUCUUCCGCAAUGGACGAAAGUCUGACGGAGCAACGCCGCGUGAGUGAUGAAGGCUUUCGGGUCGUAAAACUCUGUUGUUAGGGAAGAACAAGUGCUAGUUGAAUAAGCUGGCACCUUGACGGUACCUAACCAGAAAGCCACGGCUAACUACGUG